rnacentral:lncRNA from 1 species
GCUUCGCAGGCAGUGUAAGUGAGGACACUGCAGAGGAGAUGAUGAACAGAGCUGAGAAGCUGCAAACAUCUAUGGCCCCCCUGAAGAGCAAGGCACCAAGCCUCAUUCUUUACUUCUGUACAUUUGAGGAAUGGUCCAUCUAACAGCCCCUGUCUUCUACCUGCUGCAGUGCCACGAACGGCCUGGAGACCACUACCAGAGAUGUGCCACAGGAAAGGCUUUCUCAAGAAACAAUACUAGUUGGAUGGAACACUCACCUGGCAUGGAGUCAUCCCCAUUUUCUGCAUGGCGGUGGAGCGUGGGAACUGCAUCUAUUCAACGUGUCUCUUACACGCUGCCUCAGCAUGCUCUAGGAUCUCUAACUGAAUUUGUUAACAAGAGAGAGUAAAAACUGGAAGAAGACUAUGCUUUUAAAUGCUAAAGACAUUUUCCGCAAUUUUCUCACCAGAACUUUUGAACCUUCCCUAGAAUGUUCUGGAGCUGCAUUCUUAGACCUCCCCAUUGCCUCCACUUUCAUUUCACCCCAAGAGCUGUUAGUUAAUAAAAACGGACCUCUAGAGCA